rnacentral:rRNA from 1 species
GACGAAGGGGGGCUAGCGUUGUUCGGAAUUACUGGGCGUAAAGCGCGCGCAGGCGGUCUUCCAAGUCAGUGGUGAAAGCCUGGAGCUCAACUCCAGAACUGCCAUUGAAACUGUUAGACUUGAGUACGAGAGAGGUGAGUGGAAUUCCCAGUGUAGAGGUGAAAUUCGUAGAUAUUGGGAAGAACACCAGUGGCGAAGGCGGCUCACUGGCUCGUAACUGACGCUCAGGCGCGACAGCGUGGGGAUCAAACAGG